GGCCUGAGAGGGCGACCGGCCACACUGGGACUGAGACACGGCCCAGACUCCUACGGGAGGCAGCAGUGGGGAAUAUUGCGCAAUGGGCGAAAGCCUGACGCAGCAACGCCGCGUGCGGGAUGAAGGCCUUCGGGUUGUAAACCGCUUUCAGCAGGGAAGAAGCCGCAAGGUGACGGUACCUGCAGAAGAAGCACCGGCUAACUACGUGCCAGCAGCCGCGGUAAUACGUAGGGUGCAAGCGUUGUCCGGAUUUAUUGGGCGUAAAGAGCUCGUAGGCGGUCUGUUACGUCGGUUGUGAAAACUCGGGGCUUAACCCCGAGCCUGCAUCCGAUACGGGCAGACUUGAGUGUGGUAGGGGAGAC
rnacentral:rRNA from 1 species